rnacentral:rRNA from 1 species
CCUACGGGAGGCAGCAGUGGGGAAUCUUGCGCAAUGGGCGAAAGCCUGACGCAGCAACGCCGCGUGCGGGAAGAAGGCUUUCGGGCUGUAAACCGCUUUCAGCAGGAACGAAAAUGACGGUACCUGCAGAAGAAGGAGCGGCCAACUAUGUGCCAGCAGCCGCGGUGAUACAUAGGCUUCAAGCGUUGUCCGGAUUUAUUGGGCGUAAAGAGUUCGUAGGCGGUCAAGUAAGUCGGGUGUGAAAAUUCUGGGCUCAACCCAGAGACGCCACCCGAUACUGCUUAACUUGAGUUCGAUAGGGGAGUGGGGAAUUCCUAGUGUAGCGGUGAAAUGCGCAGAUAUUAGGAGGAACACCGGUGGCGAAGGCGCCACUCUGGAUCGAUACUGACGCUGAGGAACGAAAGCAUGGGUAGCAAACAGGAUUAGAUACCCUGGUAGUCCAUGCCGUAAACGGUGGGCACUAGGUGUGGGUUUCUAUUAACGAAAUCCGCGCCGUCGCUAACGCAUUAAGUGCCCCGCCUGGGGAAGUCGGUCGCAAGACUAAAACUCAAAGGAAUUGACGGCNGAGAGUGCGACGACGACGACGAGGAGAG